UACGAAGGGGGCUAGCGUUGCUCGGAAUCACUGGGCGUAAAGGGUGCGUAGGCGGACAGUUUAGUCAGAGGUGAAAGCCCAGGGCUCAACCUUGGAAUUGCCUUUGAUACUGGCUGUCUUGAGUUCGGGAGAGGUGAGUGGAAUGCCGAGUGUAGAGGUGAAAUUCGUAGAUAUUCGGCGGAACACCAGGGGCGAAGGCGACUCACUGGCGCGAUACUGACGCUGAGGCGCGAAAGCGUGGGGAGCAAACAGG
rnacentral:rRNA from 1 species